GAGGCAGGCGACCACGGUGGGUUUAGCGACUGGGGUGAAGUCGUAACAAGGUAGCCGUAGGGGAACCUGCGGCUGGAUCACCUCCUUUCUAAGGAUAUCGGCAGAAAGCGCCGACAGGCCCGCAUCUUAUGGUGCCACCCUGUCGGAAGAGCUUCUUCCAUUCCAAAGAACAUUAGCCGCCGUCCUCAUGUCCCUUCAUCACUAGGUUAGUCCACGAGACGAGAUAGCUUUGCUAUUUGGCACGUGGGCGAGCUCGGCCAGCGCGCGAAGCGCGCCCAUGGGUCCCAUCAAAGUAGUACUUUGAUGGGUGCCCUAUUAGGCGCAGUUUAGCUGCGUCUGACGGGCGCAGCGGGUGUGGGCCUGUAGCUCAGUUGGUUAGAGCGCACCCCUGAUAAGGGUGAGGUCGGUGGUUCGAAUCCACCUAGGCCCACCACACACAAGUGCGUUUGGGGCCUUAGCUCAGCUGGGAGAGCGGUUGCUUUGCAAGCAUCAGGUCAUCGGUUCGAUCCCGAUAGGCUCCACCAUUUCGCAGUCAAAGAGACGAGGCAGCAAAGCUGCCGCGCACUUUGACAAGAGCGGCCAGCGCCGAGAAGCGCGCCCACAAGGCGCGGCUUCGCCGCGACUGACGGGCUCGCGGGCAACGCACCAUCAGCCAAACCUAGAGAUGAAGAGAAACGGUUCGCCGUGCGAGAGCACGGUGAUUGGGUCGAGACGACCCGUAUUUGACAUUGUGAAUGGGUUUUUUAAAAUCGAUGCCGUGAGGUGCUCGAUUUUGGGGACGAGGAUUGCUUCGGCGGUUCGCAAGGCACUUCUGUGCAAGGCGAUCUGGACGAGCGGUUCGAGACUCCAGAUAUCGACAUCAUCAUAUAAAUAAUCUGGCUGAGAUUAUAAUCAUCCGCACCUGACAAAGGCCAACGCGCACUGCUCUGCCGAGUUGGUGAUCCGAAAGGACACCCAGUGAUGUCGUUGGUGGUGUGGACUCUCAAGCGUGAGGUAAGGGCAAUUCGUGGAUGCCUUGGCACAUACAGGCGAUGAAGGACGUGGCACGCUGCGAUAAGCGUCGGUGAGC
rnacentral:misc_RNA from 1 species